rnacentral:lncRNA from 1 species
AGCCAUAUUGCGAUGCAUCUCAUAUGACAACAGUGGAAGAAAUUCCAUUGUCACCUCAGACGAGAUUCUGAUUGCAUCAAUAGUCUAGCCAAAGACUUUAAAUAAUGGCGCUUAUCGGGAGGCAACCCGAUUUUCUUUCCCUUUGUUUCUCCCGUUUUGUUUUUCUUUUUCUUUAUUUCCGUUUCGUUCAGUUUUUCUUUCAGUUUUAAUUCCCUUUCUUUAGAUUUAAUUUUUGUUAAAGUUUCUUUAAAAAAAAUCAGGUGACGCAGUAGUGGAUUACGUCAACGUGGCAGCCCUACAGCAGAGCAUCACGAAUUUGAGCGCCACCAUUCGACAGGAGCUGCGGCGGCAGCGCACACGGUGACUUCCUUCAUUUUCUUAUCUUGUUUCAUGUUUUGUCUCUUGUCUUGUUUCGUUUAUGUCUUUGUUUUUUUUCUUUAAGUUGUGUGUUUCGUUUGCUCCUUUGCUUAUGCUUUGUUUUGUUUGCUUGAGGGCAAGCAAAAUCUAAGUGUGAGG